GUUUCUUCAAUUUUAUAAAAAUUUUAGAAAAAUUACUCGGUAAAAAAAAUGGCAAAGUGUUUAUACAAGUUUAGUCGCCUGACAGCCCAAAAAAAAAGGAUGAGGCCCCAAAAAACUACUAAAAAAAGUAGCCUGGGGAACCCCCUCCUCUUUUUUUUUUGGAGGGCUGCCAAACAAAAUACGGUAAACAGUUCACAAGUGGGGUUAGCCGUUAAAGAGAAAGGGAGAAAACGAGUUUUGUCCCUUUCCCCGGCGUUUAUUUAUUAAUGAUCCAACCGCAGGUUCACCUACGGUUA
rnacentral:misc_RNA from 1 species